AGUGGGGAAUUGACAAAGACACAGUAGAGCAGAUCAGAGAGAGCCUGCAGUAAAGGAGAAGUAAAAGAACCCCUGGAUCCUGGUCAGCUUCAACUCGUUAGAGGACGUGGGGUCGUUUCUCUACCAGUGCCGUGAUGACUCGUCCCAGCGUCAGCAGUGAUUGGUUGAUGUUUCCCACCUCACAGGCUCUCUUAUCCACAGCGCUAGAACUCCCGAUGUUCUCACUGCCCGCCAGAUCCACCAGGUUGAGUUUUCUGAUCUUGACCAGCUCCUCUCCGUCCAGAGAAACGUCCUUCAUGUGGAUGGAUACGGAGAACAGCGAGUGGGAGCAACUAGAGUAUGCAUGUAUGAGCGUGGACGCGGUCCUCCUCUUGGCCGAUCCUCUCAGGAUCUGGUAGACUUCGUCCUUGUUGUGGACUGUGCCCCUUCAUCACCCCCAGCAUUUUUUUUACUGUUUUUGCCUGUG